CCUACGGGUGGCAGCAGUGAGGAAUAUUGGUCAAUGGACGCAAGUCUGAACCAGCCAUGCCGCGUGCAGGAAGACGGCUCUAUGAGUUGUAACCUGUUUUUGUACGAGGGUAAAUCCCGAUACGUGUAUCGGGUUGAAAGUAUCGUACGAAUCAGGACCGGCUAACUCCGUGCCAGCAGCGGCGGCAAUACGGAGGUGUCAAGCGUUAUCCGGAUUUAUUGGGUUUAAAGGGUGCGUAGGCGGUUCGAUAAGUUAGAGGUGAAAUCCCGGGGCUCAACUGCUGCACUGCCUCUGAUACUGUCGGGCUUGAGUGCAGGUGCGGUAGGCGGAAUGUAUGGUGUAGCGGUGAAAUGCAUAGAUAUCAGACAGAACACCGGUGGCGAAGGCAGCUUACCGAACUGCAACUGACGUUGAGGCACGAAAGCGUGGGGAGCAAACAGGAUUAGAUACCCUUGUAGUC
rnacentral:rRNA from 1 species